UACGUAGGGUGCAAGCGUUGUCCGGAAUUAUUGGGCGUAAAGAGCUCGUAGGCGGCUUAUUGCGUCUGCUGUGAAACCCCGCGGCUCAACCGCUGAACUGCCGUGGGUACGGGCAGGCUUGAGUGCGGUAGAGGUAGCUGGAAUUGGUGGUGUAGCGGUGGAAUGCACAGAUAUCAUCAGGAACACCAAUGGCGAAGGCUGGUCUCUAGGACGCAACUGACGCUGAGGCACGAAAGCGUGGGGAGCGAACAGG
rnacentral:rRNA from 1 species